rnacentral:rRNA from 1 species
AAUGAACGUUGGCGGCGUGGAUUAGGCAUGCAAGUCGUGCGAGAAGUUGGUUAGCUUGCUAACCGACGGACAGCGGCGAAAGGGAGAGUAACGCGUGGUUACGUGCCCCGAAGACCGGGAUAGUGUUGGGAAACUGGCAGUAAUACCGGAUAAUAUCUUUGGAUCAAAUGGUGUGAUUCCGCUUUGGGAUCGGACCGCGUACUAUUGGCUUGUUGGUGGGGUAAUGGCCCACCAAGGCUCAGAUGGUUACCGGGUGUGAGAGCAUGGCCCGGCUCACUGGGACUGAGACACUGCCCAGACAUCUACGGAUGGCUGCAGUCGAGAAUCUUCGGCAAUGGACGAAAGUCUGACCGAGCGACGCCGCGUGCGGGAUGAAGGCCCUCGGGUUGUAAACCGCUGUCAGUUAGGAGGAAAUCUAUGAGGGCACUCUCUCAUAGUUGACCGAUUUUCAGAGGAAGGACGGGCUAAGUUCGUG